UUUACGAGUGUAUUGUUUCUUGCUGAUGCAUAUAACAUGUGUUGAAACUGAAUCUUGUAACUAUUAACCUAGUAGUACAAUUACAUGUAAUACGAACAUAUAAAAAAAGUGUGUAUUUACAAACAUUUUUUUUUAAGAAAUCCCGGAAGGUGUAGUGGAGUAAUCAAUGAGUAAUUAAUGUGUGAAAGAGAGAGUGAAUGAUUAGAGUAGGGAUUAAUGUAGAUGUAAGCAAUAGUGUAUGUAAUAAGACUAAUAAGAAAUGUAUUAAGUAGAGAGUAAGAAGUUAGUAAGUAAGGAGUAAGUGUCUAGGCAACCAAGCGGUGUAAGAGAGAAGAAUAAUAAAGAUAUGUAGUAGUUAA